AUCGCUUCUCGGCCUUUUGGCUAAGAUCAAGUGUAGUAUCUGUUCUUAUCAGUUUAAUAUCUGAUACGUCCCCUAUCUGGGGACCAUAUAUUAAAUGGAUUUUUGAAACAGGGAGAUGGAAGAAGAGCUUGCUCUGUCCACUCCACGCAUUGACCUGGUAUUGCAGUACCUCCAGGACCGGUGCAAAAAAA